rnacentral:lncRNA from 1 species
UGAAGUUAACACUCGUUAAUGUUGUUUAAAAAUUUGUAACCACAUUAUAAUUUGUAUUAAUGUAUGUUAAACUCUCUUUCAUGGUACAUAGACAAUACUAUAGUUUUUAAAAAUCUAAUUUAAUAAAUUUUAAAUACUACUUAAAUCAGUGGACUAAACACUAUAAAAUAUAUAUUCUCUAGAGAAACGGACAUUACAUACAUUUCAAACCUCUUAGACCAUCAUCAUAUGUCUGUUAAGAAUGCAACUAUGGAAUAAGAAAAGAUUGUUGAAUUUUUUUAUUUUUUUCAAAAUCUGAAGGUGAACCCCUACAAAAUUGAGUUUUUCGGUAAUUGCAAUAUUAAUGAAGUUUACAUUCUUUAGUGUUGUUUAAAAAUUUCUAACCACAUUCUAAAUUUGUAUUAACGUAUGCUAAACUCUCUUUCAUGGUACAUAGACAUCACUAUAGUUUUUUAAAGUUUAAUUUAAUAAAUUUUAUGUACUACUUAAAUCAGUAGACAAAACGCUAUAAAAUAUAUAUUCUCAAGAGAAACGGACACAACAUACAAUUCAAACCUCUAUGGACAUUAUCAUAUGUAUGUUAAGGAUGCAAGUAUAGAAUAAAAAAAUAUUGUGCAAUUUUUUUAAUUUGUUUUCAAAGUAUGAAAGUUAACCCCGAUAAAAUUGACAUUUUUCGAUAUAUGCUCUAUAUAAUGAAAUUUACACUCUUUAAUGUUGUUUAAAAAUUUCUAACCACAUUAUAAUUUGUAUUAAUGUAUUGUAAACUCUCUUUCACGGUACAUAGACAUCACAAUAGUUUUUUAAAAAUUAAUUUAAAAAAUUUUAUAUACUAAUUAAAUCAGUGGACUAAACACUAUAAAAUAUAUAUUCUCUUGAGAAACGGACACAACAUACAUUUCAAACAUCUUUGACCAUCAUCAUAUGUCUGUUAAGGAUGCAACUAUGCAAUAAAAAAAUAUUGUCAAAUUUUUUGAUUUUUUUUCAAAAUCUAAAGGUUAACCCCUACAAAAUUGAGGGUUUCGGUAAUAGAAAUAUAUAUUGAAGUUUACAUUAUUUAGUGUUGUCUAAAAAUAUCUAACCACAUUCUACAUUUGUAUUAAUAUUUGCUAAACUCUCUUUCAGGAAACAUAGACAUCACAAUAGUUUUUAAAAAUUUAAAUUAAUAAAUUUUACAUACUACAUGAAUCAGUAGACUAAACACUAUAAAAUAUAUAUUCUCUAGAGAAACGGACACAACAUACAUAUAAAACCUCUUUGACAAUCAUCAUAUGUCUGUUAAGGGUGCAACUAUGCAAUAAAAAAAGAUUGUCAUAUUUUUAAUUUUUUCUCAAAAUCUGAAGGUUAACCCCUACAAAAUUUAGUUUUUCGAUAAAUGCUCUAUAUAAUGAAGUUUACACUCUUUAAUGUUGUUUAAAAAUUUCUAAACACAUUAUAAAUUUGUAUUAAUCUAUGCUAAACUCUUUUUCAUGGUACAUAGACAUCAGCAUAGUUUUUAAAAUUUUAAUUUAAUAAAUUCUAUAUACUACUAUAAAAUAUAUAUUCUCAAGAGAAACGGACACAACAUACAAUUCAAACCUCUAUGGCCAUUAUCAUAUGUAUGUUAAGGAUGCAAGUGUAGAAUAAAAAAAGAUUGUCCAAUUUUUUGAAUUUGUUUUCAAAAUAUGAAGGUUAACCCCGACAAAAUUGACAUUUUUCGAUAUAUGCUCUAUAUAAUGAAAUUUACACUCUUUAAUGUUGGUUAAAAAUUUCUAACCACAUUAUAAUUUGUAUUAAUGUAUGCUAAACUCUCUUUCAUGGUACAUAGACAUCACUAUAGUUUUUAAAAAAUUAAUUUAAAAAAUUUUAUAUAAUAAUUAAAUCAGUGGACUAAACACUAUAAAAUAUAUAUUCUCUAGAGAAACGGACACAACAUACAUUUCAAACAUCUUUGACCAUCAUCAUAUAUCUGUUAAGGAUGCAACUAUGCAAUAAAAAAUAUUGUCAAAUUUUUUGAAUUUUUUUCAAAAUCUAAAGGUUAACCCCUACAAAAUUGAGGGUUUCGGUAAUUGAAAUAUAUAUUGAAGUUUACAUUAAUUAGUGUUGUCUAAAAAUAUCUAACCACAUUCUACAUUUGUAUUAAUAUUUGCUAAACUCUCUUUCAGGAAACAUAGACAUCACAAUAGUUUUUAAAAAUUUAAAUUAAUAAAUUUUACAUACUACAUGAAUCAGUAGACUAAACACUAUAAAAUAUAUAUUCUCUAGAGAAACGGACACAACAUACAUAUAAAACCUCUUUGACAAUCAUCAUAUGUCUGUUAAGGGUGCAACUAUGCAAUAAAAAAAGAUUGUCAUAUUUUUAAUUUUUUCUCAAAAUCUGAAGGUUAACCCCUACAAAAUUUAGUUUUUCGAUAAAUGCUCUAUAUAAUGAAGUUUACACUCUUUAAUGUUGUUUAAAAAUUUCUAAACACAUUAUAAAUUUGUAUUAAUCUAUUCUAAACUCUUUUUCAUGGUACAUAGACAUCAGCAUAAUUUUUAAAAUUUUAGUUUAAUAAAUUCUAUAUACUACUAUAAAAUAUAUAUUCUCAAGAGAAACGGACAAAACAUACAUUUCAAACCUUUUUGACCAUCAUCAUAUGUAUGUUAAGGAUGCAAGUAUAGAAUAAAAAAGAUUGUCCAAUUUUUUGAAUUUGUUUUCAAAAUCUGAAGGUUAACCCCUACAAAAUUGAGUUUUUCGAUAGAUGCUCUAUAUAAUGAAAUUUACACUCUUUAAUGUUGUUUAAAAAUUUCUAACCAUGUUAUAAUUUGUAUUAAUGUAUGUUAAACUCUCUUUCAGGGUACGUAGACAUCACUAUAGUUUUUUAAAAUUUAUAUUAAUAAAUAUUUUAUACUACGUGAAUAAGUGGACUAAACACUAAAAAUAUGGAUUCUCUAGAGAAACGGACACAACAUAGAUUUCAAACCUCUUUGACCAUCAUCAUAUGUCUGUUAAGGAUGCAACUAUGCAAUAAAAAAAGAUUAUCAAAUUUUUUGAAUUUUUUUCAAAAUUUGAAGGUUAACCCCCUACAAAAUUAAGUUUUUCGGUAAAUGCUCUAUACAAUGAAGUUUACACCCUUUAUUGUUAUUUUAAAUUUUUUAACCACAUUAUACAUUAAUGCUAAACUCUCUUUCAUUGUACGUAGACAUCACUAUGGUUUUUAAAAAUUUAAUUUAAUAAAUUUUAUAUACUACUUCAAUCAGUGAACUAAACACUAUAAAAUAUAUAUUCUCUAGAGAAACGGACACAACAUACAUUUCAAAAUUCUUUGACCAUCAUCAUAUGUAUGUUAAGGAUGCAACUAUGCAAUAAAAAAAAAUUCAAAUUUUUUGAUUUUUUUUCAAAUUGAGGUUUUCGAUAAAUGAUCUAUACACUGAAGUUUGCACCCUUUAACGUAGUAGAAAAAUUUCUAACCACAUUUUACAUUUGUAUUAAUGUAUGCUAAACUCUUUUUCAUGGUACAUAGACAUCAGCAUAGUUUUUAAAAUUUUAGUUUAAUAAAUUCUAUAUACUACUAUAAAAUAUAUAUUCUCAAGAGAAACGGACAAAACAUACAAUUCAAACCUUUUUGACCAUCAUCAUAUGUAUGUUAAGGAUGCAAGUGCAAGUGUAGAAUAAAAAAAGAUUGUCCAAUUUUUUGAAUUUGUUUUCAAAAUAUGAAGGUUAACCCCGACAAAAUUGACAUUUUUCGAUAUAUGCUCUAUAUAAUGAAAUUUACACUCUUUAAUGUUGGUUAAAAAUUUCUAACCACAUUAUAAUUUGUAUUAAUGUAUGCUAAACUUUCUUUCAUGGUACAUAGACAUCACUAUAGUUUUUAAAAAAUUAAUUUAAAAAAUUUUAUAUAAUAAUUAAAUCAGUGGACUAAACACUAUAAAAUAUAUAUUCUCUAGAGAAACGGACACAACAUACAUUUCAAACAUCUUUGACCAUCAUCAUAUAUCUGUUAAGGAUGCAACUAUGCAAAAAAAAAAUAUUGUCAAAUUUUUUGAAUUUUUUUCAAAAUCUAAAGGUUAACCCCUACAAAAUUGAGGGUUUCGUUAAUUGAAAUAUAUAUUGAAGUUUACAUUAUUUAGUGUUGUCUAAAAAUAUCUAACCACAUUCUACAUUUGUAUUAAUAUUUGCUAAACUCUCUUUCAGGAUACAUAGACAUCACAAUAGUUUUUAAAAAUUUAAUUUAAUAAAUUUUACAUACUACAUGAAUCAGUAGACUAAACACUAUAAAAUAUAUAUUCUCUAGAGAAACGGACACAACAUACAUUUAAAACCUCUUUGACAAUCAUCAUAUGUCUGUUAAGGAUGCAACUAUGCAAUAAAAAAAGAUUGUCAUGUUUUUUAAUUUUUUCUCAAAAUCUGAAGGUUAACCCCUACAAAAUUUAGUUUUUCGAUAAAUGCUCUAUAUAAUGAAGUUUACACUCUUUAAUGUUGUUUAAAAAUUUCUAAACACAUUAUAAAUUUGUAUUAAUCUAUGCUAAACUCUUUUUCAUGGUACAUAGACAUCAGCAUAGUUUUUAAAAUUUUAGUUUAAUAAAUUCUAUAUACUACUAUAAAAUAUAUAUUCUCAAGAGAAACGGACAAAACAUACAUUUCAAACCUUUUUGACCAUCAUCAUAUGUAUGUUAAGGAUGCAAGUAUAGAAUAAAAAAGAUUUUCCAAUUUUUUGAAUUUGUUUUCAAAAUCUGAAGGUUAACCCCUACAGAAUUGAGUUUUACGAUAGAUGCUCUAUAUAAUGAAAUUUACACUCUUUAAUGUUGUUUAAAAAUUUCUAACCACAUUAUAAUUUGCAUUAAUGUAUGUUAAACUCUCUUUCAUGGUACGUAGACAUCACUAUAGUUUUUAAAAAUUUAAAUUAACAAAUAUUUUAUACUACUUGAAUAAGUGGACUAAACACUAAAAAUAUAGAUUCUCUAGAGAAACGAACACAACAUAGAUUUCAAACCUCUUUGACCAUCAUCAUAUGUCUGUUAAGGAUGUAACUAUGCAAUAAAAAAAGAUUAUCAAAUUUUUGAAUUUUUUUCAAAAUUUGAAGGUUAAACCCCUACAAAAUUAAGUUUUUCAGUAAAUGCUCUAUACAAAGAAGUUUACACCCUUUAAUGUUGUUUUAAAUUUUCUAACCACAUUAUACAUUAAUGCUAAACUCUCUUUCAUUGUACGUAGACAUCACUAUGGUUUUUAAAAAUUUAAUUUAAUGAAUUUUAUAUACUACUUAAAUCAGUGGACUAAACACUUAAAUCUCUAGAGAAACGGACACAACAUACAUUUCAAAACUCUUUGACCAUCAUCAUAUGUAUGUUAAGGAUGCAACUAUGCAAUAAAAAAAAUUCAAAUUUUUUGAUUUUUUUUCGAAAUAUGAAGGUUACCCCCACAAAAUUGAGGUUUUCGAUAAAUGCUCUAUACACUGAAGUUUGCACCCUUUAAUGUUGUUGAAAAAUUUCUAACCACAUUAUACAUUUGUAUUAAUGUAUGCUAAACUCUCUUUCAGGAUACAUAGACAUCACAAUAGUUUUUAAAAAUUUAAUUUAAUAAAUUUUAUAUACUACAUAAAUCAGUGGACUAAGCAAUAUAAAAUAUAUAUUCUCAAGAGAAACGGACACAGCAUACAUUUAAAACCUCUUUGACCAUCAUCAUAUGUAUGUUAAGGAUGCAACUAUGCAAUAAAAAAAUAUUGACAUAUUUUUCAAAUAUUUCUCAAAAUAAGGUUAACCCCUACAAAAUUUAGUUUUGCGAUAAAUGCUCUAUAUAAUGAAGUUUACACUCUUUAAUACUGUUUAAAAAUUUCUAACCACAUUAUAAUUUGUAUUAAUGUAUGCUAAACUCUCUUUCAUGGUACAUAGACAAUACUAUAGUUUUUAAAAAUUUAAUUUAAUAAAUUUUAAAUACUACUUAAAUCAGUGGACUAAUCACUAUAAAAUAUAUAUUCUCUAUAGAAACGGACACAAAAUACAUUUCAAACCUCUUUGACCAUCAUCAUACGUCUGUUAAGGAUGCAACUAUGCAAUAAAAAAAGAUUGUAGAAUUUUUUGAAUUUUUUCAAAAUCUGAAGGUUCACACCCCUACAAAAUUGAGUUUUUCGAUAAAUGCUCUAUAUAAUGAAGUUUACAUUCUUUAAUGUUGUUUAAAAAUUUCUAACCACAUUCUAAAUUUGUAUUAAUGUAUGCUAAACUCUCUUUCAUGGUACAUAGACAUAACUAUAGCUUUUUAAAGUUUAAUUUAAUAAAUUUUAUGUACUACUUAAAUGAGUAGAAAAAACACUAUAAAAUAUAUAUUCUCAAGAGAAAAAGACACAACAUACAAUUCAAACCUCUAUGGCCAUUAUGAUAUGUAUGUUAAGGAUGCAAGUAUAGAAUAAAAAAAGAUUGUCCAAUUUUUUGAAUUUUCAAAAUAUGAAGUUUAACCUCGACAAAAUUGACAUUUUUCGAUAUAUGCUCUAUAUAAUGAACUUUACACUAUUUAAUGUUGUUUAAAAAUUUCUAACCAUAUAAUAAUUUGUAUUAAUGUAUGCUAAACUCUCUUUCAUGGUACAUAGACAUCACUAUAGUUUUUAAUAAAUUAAUUUAAAAAAUUUUAUAUACUAAUUAAAUCAGUGGACUAAACACUAUAAAAUAUAUAUUCUCUAGAGAAACGGACACAACAUACAUUUCAAACAUCUUUGACCAUCAUCAUAUGUCUAUUAAGGAUGCAACUAUGCAAUAAAAAAAUAUUGUCAAUUUUUUUGAAUUUUUUUCAAAAUCUGAAGGUUAACCCCUACAAAAUUGAGGGUUUCGGUAAUUGAAAUAUAUAUUGAAUUUUACAUUAUUUAGUGUUGUCUAAAAAUAUCUAACCACGUUCUACAUUUGUAUUAAUGUUUGCUAAACUCUCUUUCAGGAUACAUAGACAUCAUAAUAGUUUUUAAAAAUUUAAUUUAAUAAAUUUUACAUACUACAUGAAUCCGUAGACUAAACACUAUAAAAUAUAUAUUCUCUAGAGAAACGGACACAACAUACAUUUAAAACCUCUUUGACAAUCAUCAUAUGUCUGUUAAGGAUGCAACUAUGCAAUAAAAAAAAGAUUGUCAUAUUUUUUUAAUUUUUCUCAAAAUCUGAAGGUUAACCCCUACAAAAUUUAGUUUGUCGAUAAAUACUCUAUAUAAUGAAGUUUACACUCUUUAAUGUUGUUUAAAAAUUUCUAAACACAUUAUAAAUUUGUAUUAAUCUAUGCUAAACUCUCUUUCAUGGUACAUAGACAUCAGCAUAGUUUUUAAAAUUUUAAUUUAUUAAAUUCUAUAUACUACUAUAAAAUAUAUAUUCUCAAGAGAAACGGACAAAACAUACAUUUCAAACCUUUUUGACCAUCAUCAUAUGUAUGUUAAGGAUGCAAGUAUAGAAUAAAAAAGAUUGUCCAAUUUUUUGAAUUUGUUUUCAAAAUCUGAAGGUUUAACCCCUACAAAAUUGAGUUUUUCGAUAGAUGCUCUAUAUAAUGAAAUUUACACUCUUUAAUGUUGUUUAAAAAUUUCUAACCACAUUAUAAUUUGUAUUAAUGUAUGUUAAACUCUCUUUCAGGGUACGUAGACAUCACUAUAGUUUUUUAAAAUUUAUAUUAAUAAAUAUUUUAUACUACGUGAAUAAGUGGACUAAACACUAAAAAUAUGGAUUCUCUAGAGAAACGGACACAACAUAGAUUUCAAACCUCUUUGACCAUCAUCAUAUGUCUGUUAAGGAUGCAACUAUGCAAUAAAAAAAGAUUAUCAAAUUUUUUGAAUUUUUUUCAAAAUUUGAAGGUUAACCCCCUACAAAAUUAAGUUUUUCGGUAAAUGCUCUAUACAAUGAAGUUUACACCCUUUAUUGUUAUUUUAAAUUUUUUAACCACAUUAUACAUUAAUGCUAAACUCUCUUUCAUUGUACGUAGACAUCACUAUGGUUUUUAAAAAUUUAAUUUAAUAAAUUUUAUAUACUACUUCAAUCAGUGAACUAAACACUAUAAAAUAUAUAUUCUCUAGAGAAACGGACACAACAUACAUUUCAAAAUUCUUUGACCAUCAUCAUAUGUAUGUUAAGGAUGCAACUAUGCAAUAAAAAAAAAUUCAAAUUUUUUGAUUUUUUUUCAAAUUGAGGUUUUCGAUAAAUGAUCUAUACACUGAAGUUUGCACCCUUUAACGUAGUAGAAAAAUUUCUAACCACAUUUUACAUUUGUAUUAAUGUAUGCUAAACUCUCUUUCAGGAUACAUAGACAUCACAAUAGUUUUUAAAAAUUUAAUUUAAUAAAUUUUAUAUACUACAUGAAUCAGUGGACUAAGCAAUAUAAAAUAUAUAUUCUCAAGAGAAACGGACCCAACAUACAUUUAACCCCUACAAAAUAUUGUCAUAUUUUUCAAUUUUUUCUCAAAAUCUGAAGGUUAACCCCUACAAAAUUUAGUUUUUCGAUAAAUUCUCUAUAUAAUGAAGUUUACACUAUUUAAUGUUGUUUAAAAAUUUCUAACCACAUUAUAAUUUGUAUUAAUGUAUGCUAAACUCUCUUUCAUGGUACAUAGAAAAUAUUAUAGUUUUAAAAAUUUAAUUUAAUAAAUUUUAAAUACUACUUAAAUCAGUGGACUAAACACUAUAAAAUAUAUAUUCUCUAUAGAAACGGACACAAAAUACAUUUCAAACCUCUUUGACCAUCAUCAUACGUCUGUUAAGGAUGCAACUAUACAAUAAAAAAAAGAUUGUAGAAUUUUUUGAAUUUUUUUCAAAAUCUGAAGGUUCACACCGCUACAAAAUUGAGUUUUUUGAUAAAUGCUCUAUAUAAUGAAGUUCACACUCUUUAAUGUUGUUUAAAAUUUUCUAACCACAUUAUAAAUUUUUAUUAAUGUAUGCUAAACUCUCUUUCGUGGUACAUAGACAUCAUUAUAGUUUUUAAAAAUUUAACUUUAUAAAUUUUAUAUACUACUUAAAUUAGUGGACUAAACAAUAUAAAAUAUAUAUUCUCUAGAGAAACGACACUAUAUACAUUUCAAACCUCUUUGACUAUCAUCAUAUGUCUGUUAAGGAUGCACCUAUGCAAUAAAUAAAGAUUGUCGAAUUUUUUGUAUUUUUUUCAAAAUCUGAAGGUUAACCCCUACAAAAUUGAGUUUUUUCGAUAAAUGCUCUAUAAUGAAGUUUACAAUCUUUAGUGUUGUUCAAAAAUUUAUAAGCACAUUCUACAUUUGUAUUAAUAUAUGCUAAACUCUCUUUCAUGGUACAUAGACAUCACUAUAGUUUUUAAAAAUUUAACUUAAUAAAUUUUAUAUACUACUUAAAUCAGUGGACUAAAGACUAUAAAAUAUAUAUUCUCCAGAGAAACGGACACAACAUCUAUUUCAAACCUCUUUGACCAUCAUCAUAUGUAUGUUAAGGAUGCAACUAUGCAAUAAAAACAGAUUGUCAAAUUUUUUGAUUUUUUUUCAACAUCUGAAGGUUAACCCCUACAAAAUUGAGUUUUUCAAUAAAUGCUCUAUAUAAUGAAGUUUACACUCUAUAAUGUUGUUUAGAAAUUUCUAACCACAUUACAAAUUUGUAUUAAUGUAUGCUAAACUCUCUUUCAUGGUACAUAGACAUCACUAAAGAUUUUUAAAAAUUAAUUUAAUAAAUUUUAUGUAGUAUUUAAAUCAGUGGACUAAACAUGAUAAAAUAUAUAUUCUCUAGAUAAAGGGACACAACAUACAUUUCAAACCUCUUUGACCAUCAUCAUAUGUCUGUUAAGGAUGCAACUAUGCAAUAAAAAAAAUUUCUUAAUUUUUGAAUUUUUUUCAAAAUCUGAAGGUUAACCCCUACAAAAUUGAGUUUUUUCGAUAAAUGCUCCAUAUAAUGAAGUUUACAUUCUUUAGUGUUGUUCAAAAAUUUCUAACUACUUUCUACAUUUGUAAUAACGUAUGUUAAACUCUCUUUCAUGGUACAUAGACAUCACUAUAGUUUAUAAAAUUUUAAUUAAUAAAUUUUUGUACUACUUAAAUCAGUAGACAAAACAUCAGAAAAUAUAUAUUCUCUAGAGAAACGGACACAACAUACAUUUCAAACCUUUUUGACCAUCAUCAUAUGUCUUUUAAGAAUGCAACUAUACAAUAAAAAAAGGUUGUCAAUUUUUUUGAAUUUUUUUCAAAAUCUGAAAUUUAACCCCGACAAAAUUGAGUUUUUCGAUAAAUGCUCUAUAUAAUGAAGUUUACACUCUAUGUUAAACUCUCUUUCAUGGUACAUAGACAUCUCUAUAGUUUUUAAAAAUUUAAUUUAAUAAAUUUUAUAUACUACUUAAAUCACUGGACUAAACACUAUAAAAUAUAUAUUCUCAAGAGAAACAGACGCAACAUCAAUAGUUUUUAAAAAUUUAAUUUAAUAAAUUUUAUAUACUACUUAAAUCACUGGACUAAACACUAUAAAAUAUAUAUUCUCAAGAGAAACAGACGCAACAUACAUUUCAAACCUAUUUAACUGUCAUCAUAUGUAUGUUAAGGAUGCAACUAUGCAAUAAAAAAUGAUUGUCAUAUUUUUUGAAUUUUGUUUCAAAAUCUGAAGGUUAACCCCUACAAAAUUGAGUUUUUCGAUAAAUGCUCUAUAUAAUGAAGUUUAUACUCUUUACUGUUGUUUAAAAAUUUCUAAGCACACUACAAUUUGUAUUAAUGUAUGCUAAACUCUCUUUCAUGGUACAUAGACAUCACUAUAGUUCUUAAAAAUUUAAUUUAAUAAAUUUUGUAUUCUACUUAAAUCAGUGGACUAAAACACUAUAAAAUAUAUAUUCUCUAGAGAAAUAGACACAACAUUCAUUUCAAACAUCUUUGACCAUCAUAAUUUGCCUGUUAAGGAUGCAACUAUGCAAUAAAAAAAGAUUGUAUUAUUUUUCAAUUUUUUCUCAAAAUCUGAAGGUUAACCCCUACAAAAUUGAGUUUUUCGGUAAUUGCAAUAUAUAUUGAAGUUUACAUUCUUUAGUGUUGUUAAAAAAUUUCUAUCCACAUUCUAAGUUUGUAUUAAAUUAUGUUAAACUCUCCUUCAUGGUACAUAGACAUCACUAUAGUUUUUAAAAUUUUAAUUUAAUAAAUUUUAUAUACUACUUAAAUCAGUGGACUAAACACUAUAAAAUAUAUAUUCUCAAGAGAAACGGACGCAACAUACAUUUCAAACCUAUUUAACCGUCAUCAUAUGUAUGUUAAGGAUGCAACUACGCAAUAAAAAAUGAUUGUAAAUUUUUUUGAAUUUUGUUUCAAAAUCUGAAGGUCCCUACAAAAUUGAGUUUUUCGAUAAAUGCUCUAUAUAAUGAAGUUAACACUCGUUAAUGUUGUUUAAAAAUUUGUAAGCACAUUAUAAUUUGUAUUAAUGUAUGAUAAACUCUAUUUCAUGGUACAUUGACAAUACUAUAGUUUUUAAAAAUUUAAUUUAAAAAAUUUUAAAUACUACUUAAAUCAGUGGACUAAACACUAUAAAAUAAAUAUUCUCUAGAGAAACGGACAUUACAUACAUUUCAAAACUCUUAGACCAUCAUCAUAUGUCUGUUAAAAAUGCAACUAUGGAAUAAAAAAAGAUUGUUAAAUUUUUUUAUUUUUUUUAAAUCAGAAAGUUAACCCCUACAAAACUGAGUUUUUUCGAUAAAUGCUCUAUAUAAUGAAUGCUCUAUAUAAUGAAAUUUACAUUCUUUAUUGUUGUUCAAAAAUUUCUAAACACAUUCUACAUUUGAAUUAAUGUAUGCUAAGCUCUAUUUCAUGGUACAUAGACAUCACUAUAGUUUUUAAAAAAUUAUUUAAUAAAUUUUCGUACUACUUAAAUCAGUAGACUAAACGCUAUAAAAUAUAUAUUCUCUAGAGAAAUGGACACAACUUACAUUUUAAACCUCUUUGACCAUCAUCAUAUGUCUGUUAAGGAUACAACAAUGCAAUAAAAAAAUGAUUGUCAAAUUUUCUGAAUUUGUUUCAAAUUCUGAAGGUGAACCCCUACAAAAUUGAGUUUUUCGAUAAAUGCUCUAUAUAAUGAAGUUUACACUCUUUAAUGUUGUGUAAAAAUUUCUGACUACAUUAUAAAUUUGUAUCAAUGUAUGGCUAACUCUGAUUUAUGGUACAUAGACAUCAAUAUAGUUUUUAAAAAUUUAAUUUAAUAAAUUGUAUAUACUACUUAAAUCAGUGGAGUAAACACUAUAAAAUAUAUAUUCUCAAGAGAAACGGACGCAACAUAUCUUUCAAACCUCUUUAACCAUCAUCAUAUGUAUGCUAAGGAUGCAACUAUGUAAUAAAAAAAGAUUGUCAAAUUUUUUGAAUUUUGUUUCAAAAUCUGAAGGUUAUCCCCUACAAAAUUGAGUUUUUUGAUUAAUGCUCUAUAUAAUGAAAUUAAUACUCUUUAAUGUUGUUUAAAAAUUUAUAACCACAUUAUAAUUUGUAUUAAUGUCUGAUAAACUCUCUUUCAUUGUACAUAGACAAUUCUAUAGUUUUUGAAAAUUUAAUUUAAUAAAUUUUAUAUACUACUUAAAUCAGUGGACUAAACACUAUAAAAUAUAUAUUCUCUAGAGAAACGAACACUACAUACAUUUCAAACCUCUUAGACCAUCAUCAUAAGUCUGUUAAGAAUGCAACUAUGGAAUAAAUAAAGAUUGUCGAAUUUUUUGAAUUUUUUUCAAAAUCUGAAGGUUAACCCCUACAAAAUUGAGUUUUUCGAUAAAUGCUCUAUAUAAUAAAAUUUACAUUCUUUAGUGUUGUUCAAAAAUUUCUAACCACAUUCCACAUUUGUACUAAUAUAUGCUAAAUUCUCUUUCAUGGUACAUAGACAUCACUAUAGAUUUUUAAAAAUUAAUUUAAUAAAAUUUUGUACUACUUAAAUCAGUAGAGUAAACACUAUAAAAUAUAUAUUCUCUAGAGAAACGGACACAACAUACAUUUCAAAACUCUUUGACCAUCAUCAUAUGUCUGUUAAGGAUACAACUAUGCAAUAAAAAAAGAUUGUCAAAUUUUUUGAAUUUUUUUCAAAAUCUUAAGGUUAACCCCUACAAAAUUGAGUUUUUUGAAUAAAUGCUCUAUAAUGAAGUUUACAUUCUUUAGUGUUGUUCAAAAAUUUCUAACUAUAUUCUAUAUUUGUAUUAAUGUAUACUAAACAUUAUUUCAUGGUGCAUGGAAUACAUAGACAUCACUAUAUUUUUUAAAAAUUUAACUUAAUAAAUUUUAUAUACUACUUACAUCAGUGGACUAAAGACUAUAAAAUAUAUAUUCUCUAGAGAAACGGACACAACUUACAUUUCAAAACUCUUUGAUCAUCAUCAUAUGUAUGUUAAGGAUGCAACUAUGCAAUUAAAAAAAUUUCAAAUUUUUUGAUUUUUUUUUCAAAAUAUGAAGGUUACCCCCACAAAAUUGAGGUUUUCGAUAAAUGUUCUAUACACUGAAGUUUGCACCCUUUAAUGUUGUUGAAAAAUUUCUAACCACAUUAUACAUUUGUAUUAAUCUAUGCUAAACUCUCUUUCAGGAUACAUAGACAUCACAAUAGUUUUUAAAAAUUUAAUUUAAUAAAUUUUAUUUACUACUUGAAUCAGUGGACUAAGCAAUAUAAAAUAUAUAUUCUCAAGAGAAACGGACACAACAUACAUUUAAAACCUCUUUGACCAUCAUCAUAUGUCUGUUAAGGAUGCAAUUAUGCAAUAAAAAAAUAUUGUCAUAUUUUUCAAAUUUUUCUCAAAAUCUGAAGGUUAACCCCUACAAAAUUUAGUUUUUCGAUAAAUUCUCUAUAUAAUGAGUUUACACUCUUUAAUGUUGUUUAAAAAUUUCUAACCACAUUAUAAUUUGUAUUAAUGUAUGCUAAACUCUCUUUCAUGGUACAUAGACAACACUAUAGUUUUUAAAAAUUUAAUUUAAAAAUUUUUAUAUACUAAUUAAAUCAGUGGACUAAACACUAUAGAAUAUAUAUUCUCUAGAGAAACGGACACUACAUACAUUUCAAACUUCUUAGACCAUCAUUAUAUGUCUGUUAAGAAUGCAACUAUGAAAUAAAGAAAUAUUGUCAAAUUGUUUGAAUUUUUUUCAAAAUUUGAAGGUUAACCCCUACAAAAUUGAGUUUUUUUCGAUAAAUGCUCUAUAUAAUGAAGUCUACAUUUGAAUGUCUAUUAAGGAUGCAACCCUACAAACAUACAAAUUUCUAACCACAUACAAAUUUAAUGACCAUCAUCGUAUGUCUGUUAAGGAUGCAACCCUACAAAAUUGAGUUUUUCGAUAAAUGAUCUAUAUAAUGAAGUUUACACUCUUUAAUGUUGUUUAAAAAUUUGUAACCACAUUAUAAAUUUGAAUUAAUGUAUGCUAAACUCUCUUUCAUGGUACAUAGACAUCACUAUAGUUUUUAAAAAUUUAAUUUAAUAAAUUUUAUAUACUACUUAAAUUAGUGGACUAAACACUAUAGAAUAUAUAUUCUCUAGAGAAACGGACACAACAUACAUGUCAAACCUCUUUGACCAUCAUCAUAUGUCUGUUAAGGAUGCAACUAUGCGGUAAAAAAAGAUUGUCUUAUUUUUCAUUUUUUUUUCAAAAUCUAAAGGUGUUACCCUAUAAAAUUGAAUUUUUCGGUAAUUGCAAUAUUAUUGAAGUUUACAUUCUUUAGUGUUGUUUAAAAAUUUCUAACCACAUUCUAAAUUUGUAUUAAUGUAUGCUAAACUCUCUUUCAUGGUACAUAGACAUCACUAUAGUUUUUUAAAGUUUGAUUUAAUAAAUUUUAUGUACUACUUAAAUCAGUAGACUACACACUAUAAAAUAUAUAUUCUCAAGAGAAACGGACACAACAUACAAUUCAAAACUCUUUGGCCAUUACCAUAUGUAUGUUAAGGAUGCAACUAUGGAAUAAAAAAAGAUUGUCCAAUUUUUUGAAUUUUUUUCAAAAUCUGAAGGUUAACCCCUACAAAAUUGAAGUUUUCGGUAAUUGAAAUAUAUAUUGAAGUUUACAUUCUUUAGUGUUGUUUACAAAUAUCUAACCACAUUAUACAUUUGUAUUAAUGUAUGCUAAUCUCUCUUUGAGGAUACAGACAUCUAUAUAAUGAAAUUUACACUCUUUAAUGUUGUUUAAAAAUUUCUAACCAUAUUAUAAUUUGUAUUAAUGUAUGCUAAACUCUCUUUCAUGGUACAUAGACAUCACUAUAGUUUUUGAAAAUUUAAUUUAAAAAAUUUUAUAUACUAAUUAAAUCAGCGGACUAAACACUACAAAAUAUAUAUUCUCUAGAGAAACGGACACAACAUACAUUUCAAACCUAUUUGACCAUCAUCAUAUGUCUGUUAAGGAUGCAACUAUGCAAUAAAAAAUAUUGUCAAAUUUUUUGAAUUUUUUUCAAAAUCUGAAGGUUAACCCCUACAAAAUUGAGGUUUUCGGUAAUUGAAAUAUAUAUUGAAGUUUACAUUCUUUAGUGUUGUUUACAAAUAUCUAACCACAUUAUACAUUUGUAUUAAUGUAUGCUAAUCUCUCUUUGAGGAUACAGACAUCACAAUAGUUUUUAAAAAUUUAAUUUAAUAAAUUUUAUAUACUACUUGAAUCAGUGGACUAAACACUGUAAAAUAUAUAUUCUCUAUAGAAACGGACACAACAUACGUUUAAAACCUCUUUGACAAUCAUCAUAUGUCUGUUAAGGAUGCAACUAUGCAAUAAAAAAGAUUGUCAUAUUUUUUAGAUAUUUUUCAAAAUCAGAAGGUUAACCCCUACAAAAUUUAGUUUUUCGAUAAAUGCUAUAUAUAAUGAAGUUUACACUCUUUAAUGUUGUUUAAAAAUUUCUAAACACAUUAUAAAUUUUUAUUAAUGUAUGCUAAACUCUCUUUCAUGGUACAUAGACAUCAGCAUAGUUUUUAAAAUUUUAAUUUAAUAAAUUCUUCAUACUACUAUAAAAUAUAUAUUCUCAAGAGAAACGGACACAACAUACAAUUCAAACCUCUAUGGCCAUUAUCAUAUGUAUGUUAAGGAUUCAAGUAUAGAAUAAAAAAAGAUUGUCCAAUUUAUUGAAUUUGUUUUCAAAAUAUGAAGGUUAACCCCGAUAAAAUUGACAUUUUUUGAUAUAUGCUCUAUAUAAUGAAAUUUACACUCUUUAAUGUUGUUUAAAAAUUUCUAACCACAUUAUAAUUUAUAUUAAUGCAUGCUAAACUCUCUUUCAUGGUAGAUAGACAUCACUAUAGUUUUUGAAAAAUUAAUUUAAAAAAUUUUAUAUACUAAUUAAAUCAGUGGACUAAACACUAUAAAAUAUAUAUUCUCUAGAGAAACGGACACAACAUACAUUUCAAACAUCUUUGACCAUCAUCAUAUAUCUGUUAAGGAUGCAACUAUGCAAAUCAAAUUUUUUGAAUUUUUUUUCAAAAUCUUAAGGUUAACCCCUACAAAAUUAAGUUUUUCGGUAAAUGCUCUAUACAAUGAAGUUUACACCCUUUAAUGUUGUUUAAAAAUUUCUAACCAGAUUAUACAUUAAUGCUAAACUCUCUUUCAUGGUACAUAGACAUCACUAUAGUUUUUAAAAAUUUAAUUUAAUAAAUUUUAUAUACUACUUAAAUCAGUGGACUAAACACUAUAAAAUAUAUAUUCUCUAGAGAAACGGACACAACAUACAUUUCAAAACUCUUUGACCAUCAUCAUAUGUAUGUUAAGGAUGCAACUAUGCAAUAAAAAAGGAUUUUUGAAUUUUUUGAAUUUUUUUUAAAAUAUGAAGGUUAACCCCCACAAAAUUGAGGUUUUCGAUAAAUGUUCUAUAUAAUGAAGUUUACACUCUUUAAUGUUGUUUAAAAAUUUCUAACCACAUUAUAAUUUGUAUUAAUAUAUGCUAAACUCUCUUUCAUGGUACAUAAACAUCACUAUAGUUUUUAAAAUUUUAAUUUAAUAAAUUUUAUAUACUACUUAAAUCGGUGGAUUAAACACUAUAAAAUAUAUAUUUUUCUAGAGAAAUGGACACAACAUACAUUUCAAACCUCUUUGACCAUCAUCAUAUGUUUGUUAAGGAUGCAACUAUGCAAUAAAAAAAGAUUGUCAAAUUUUUUGAUUUUUUUUCAAAAUCUGAAGGUUUACCCCUACAAAAUGGAUUUUUUCGGUAAAUUCUCUAUACAAUGAAGUUUACACCCUUUAAUGUUGUUUAAAAUUUUUUAACCACAUUUAUAUAUUUUUAUUAAUGUAUGCUAAACUCUCUUUCAUAGUACAUAGACAUCACUAUAGUUUUUAAAAAAUUAAUUUAAUAAAUUUUAUAUACUACUUAAAUCAGUGGACUAAACUCUAUAAAAUAUAUAUUCUCUAGAGAAACGAACACAACAUCCAUUUUAAACCUCUUUGACCAUCAUAUGUCUGUUAAGGAUGCAACUAUGCAAUAAAAAAAAUUGUCAAAUUUUUUGAAUUUUUUUCAAAAUCUGAAGGUUUAACCCCCUACAAAAUUGAGUUUUUCGAUAAAUGCUCUAUAUAAUGAAGUUUACACUCUUUAAUGUUGUUUAAAAAUUUCUAACCAUAUUAUAAAUUUGUAUUAAUGUAUGCUAAACUCUCUUUCAUGAUAUAUAGAUAUCACUAUAGUUUUUAAAAAAUUUAAUUUAAUAAAUUUUAUAUACUAUUUAAAUCAGUGGAUUAAACACUAUAAAAUAUAUAUUCUCUAGAGAAACGGACACAACAUACAUUUCAAACCUCGUUGACUAUCAUCAUGUGUGUUAAGAAUGCAACUAUGCAAUAAAACCACUAAUCACACCAACCGGUAUGCACCACGAGAACAACACUUCACAUCGGUUUGUAUACAUUAUCUUCGGUUUAGGAUACGGUUCGGUUGGUGUCUGGUAGUUACUUUACACUAACGUUGAGGCAAAAAGAAGAUAUUUGGGUUUUACAGGUGACGUGCUGUCUCGUGCAUCAUGUGGAUUCAUUCCACGACGUCAAGCUGAUUCAACCGGCUGGGGUUGGUGGCUGACUGGUAGUUUAUAAUGCAAACAAAAAAACAGGAUAGAAACUGGUAAAUGUCAUUCUCUAUCACCAACUACCACAAAUCUCAACCGUUGAGCUAAUGCAUCAAACAACUGUGAUUAAAAAGAACGUGUUACUUAUCCUCACAAAAAUAAUUAGUGUGUCUAGUAUUUAUAUAACUUUAGGAAGAAUUACAUGUUCAGAGUAAAAUGUAGCUGAUAGAGAGUUCUACGUACAUAUAUAGUUUUGUAAAAUUCUAAAAUUAAAACAUGCCUUAAAUUACUUAUAUUUUAUUGGUUUCAAAAAUUAAAUUAGUAAAUACAAUUAUUGCAAUACCUUUUAUUUACUACAAAAGUAAACAGAAAAUAGUAAAUAAACAGUAGUAUAUAUUAUCUGUAAGAGAAUCCAACUUACCAUUAAUAUCAUUAUUUGUAUGUUUUCUUAAUAGGAAAUGAAUAAAUGCAAUUUCCACAAGAAAAUAUCCGACCGAUUGAACCAGUAACCAGUUACUGAAAGUUAAAAAGAAUGAAGUGUGUAUAAAAAGAACGUGCAGCGGCGUGAAGGGUUGUGUACUUGUGUCCAGUGGCUUUGGUCGGUGUCGGCUGCUUCUCUGCUUAGAUUUGCUCUUCCUCUCUCUCUCUACACAGGUUUCUCUUUAAUAGACAAACUCUCUACCUAUUCUCUGACUCUUUUCUUGUUAUAAACAAGGGUUUGAUUCUCCUGUCUUCACAGAUCUGUGCCAAUCAUUUGCUGUUUUGUUUGCUUUGGAUAGGGAAAAUAUUACUCUUCGGUUUGACCUUUCUACUAAUCACUUAAUAAUGAUUGUGUCUUCAUUGAUCAAUAUAGACUUUAGUCUCUGUUUCCAGUUUACUGAUCUUGAUUUUAACGGUUACACUUAAUAAUAAUAAUCUGUAUCAGGAUUUAUUUUUCUACUAUUAAUAACUAGUCUUCCAAGUCACUAAUCUUUGUCUUACUGUAUUUAGGCUAUGGAGUCGUUUCUGUUCACAUCAGAGUCAGUGAACGAGGGCCACCCAGACAAACUCUGCGACCAAGUCUCCGACGCAGUCCUAGACGCUUGCCUCGAGCAAGACCCUGAAAGCAAAGUCGCAUGCGAGACUUGCACCAAGACCAACAUGGUCAUGGUCUUUGGCGAAAUCACCACCAAGGCCAAAGUUGACUACGAGAAAAUCGUCCGUGACACGUGUCGUGCCAUCGGCUUCGUCUCAGCGGACGUCGGCCUAGACGCUGACACCUGCAAAGUCUUGGUCAACAUCGAGGAGCAGAGCCCCGACAUAGCUCAAGGAGUUCACGGUCAUUUCACAAAACGCCCUGAGGAGAUCGGAGCUGGUGACCAAGGUCACAUGUUUGGGUACGCAACGGACGAGACUCCUGAGCUUAUGCCGUUGAGCCAUGUCUUGGCCACGAAGCUCGGUGCGCGUCUCACUGAGGUUAGGAAGAACGGGACUUGCCCAUGGGUUAGACCUGACGGGAAGACUCAAGUCACCGUUGAGUACUACAACGAGAACGGUGCUAUGGUCCCUGUCCGUGUGCACACCGUUCUUAUCUCAACUCAACACGAUGAGACUGUAACCAACGAUGAGAUCGCACGUGACCUCAAACAGCACGUGAUCAAGCCGGUGAUCCCCGCCAAGUACCUAGACGAGAAAACCAUCUUCCACCUAAACCCAUCAGGGAGAUUUGUCAUCGGUGGUCCACACGGUGACGCUGGUCUAACCGGACGCAAGAUCAUCAUCGACACGUACGGUGGCUGGGGAGCUCACGGUGGUGGUGCAUUCUCUGGCAAAGACCCAUCUAAAGUGGAUAGAAGCGGUGCGUACAUAGCUAGACAAGCGGCUAAGAGCAUUGUGGCUAGCGAUCUAGCACGCAGGGCUCUUGUUCAGGUCUCUUACGCCAUUGGUGUCCCCGAGCCGUUGUCUGUUUUUGUUGAUACUUAUGGAACAGGGAAGAUUCCAGACAAGGAGAUUCUCAAGAUUGUGAAGGAGAACUUUGAUUUUAGGCCAGGGAUGAUGACUAUUAACCUUGACCUCACGAGAGGUGGGAAUGGGAGGUUCUUGAAGACUGCUGCGUAUGGACACUUUGGUAGGGAGGAUCCUGACUUUACCUGGGAGGUUGUUAAGCCUCUCAAGGCAGAGAAGGCUUAAGAAGAGUCAGCUUAUUGUUUUAACUACGUUUAUGUUUGUUUGAAACUCUUUUAAAUCUCUUUUGUGGCUUUCAGUCUGAGUCUUGUUUGUUUUUUUAUUUAUUUUAUAAGUGUGAUGUUUUGUGCUCUUUGGUUUGGUACUUUGGUAUGAUGUUACGUACUCCUUGAUGGUUUUAUUGGAGAUUAGUGUUGUGGCAGAGCAAGACUUUUACUUAAGAAGACACUCAGCUUUCAAGUGCAAGUCUCCAGUAUUCAAGACCAAAACCAUAAGUUCACUGAAGAAAAUGGAUAUACAGUUUUACUUAUACCAUCAGUACUAUUAAAAGGAUUAUUGUUUCUAUCAAUGUUCAAAAAAUCGGUAUCGAUCCUUUUUAAAGGAUUAUUGUUUAGGUAGUCGCUUAGACCGAUUUUUAUAAAACUUGCACCCAUUUAUUAAAAAAGUUGUUCUGAAAAAUCCUAUAGAUUUGAUUUUUAGAACACUGAUCAAGGGAAUCAGGGGAAGCAACAGAAGAAAAUUAACUAUAGUACAAACAUCAUCUCCAUUGUUAAAAUUACAAAAAUAUAAUCAUGUCAACAAAAGAAAAAAUACUAAUCAGAGUUACAGAAAGAGAAUCCUCAGGUUCCAGAGAGAAAAGAGAGCUUUUACACACAACAACCUUCUAAACACAUGUCUCUAUAUCUUUAUAUAUUACAAUAUAGAAAUCACACAUUUAUAUAAAGUAACAUUUAUUUUAUUUAUAACUUAGAAGAUUUUUCAACAUAGACUUACACACUCAUCUUGUUCCAUAGUCCAACAACUCCCACCUGAACGGUUGAAACACAUAAAGCACUUCUGGGCAACUCUUGAAUAGAAGUGCCACACAGACGCAAACCGCAGCAAUCGCCACCAUUGACAGCAUAGCUGGUCUGUAUGCUACAGACCGGCGUGCUGUCCCAUACACCAGCUUAUGGUCACAGAGCUUGCACUGAAGCUUGUGGUUUCCAUGUGUGAUCUCCAACGCUGAAGAACCUGAUUUUGUUUCUUUCUGCUCUCGGUCUGAGAUAGAGGAAGCAGGGAUAUUGACCACAACAUGAUCUUCAGUUGCUGACUUUUUAUUGAUCUUGCGUUGGAUCAAGUGGAUGUAUGAGAAGUGACCGCGUAAGCGUGCGUAGUCUUCCGGUGUAAAGCCUGUGGUGUCUCUAGAUGUUCUCCAUGCUUCAAUCCCCACCUGAACCAAAUACAAAAUAAGAUAAGUUUUUUUUUUCGUUCUGAGAAUCAAAUUCAAAGUGAAAGAGAUCAAAUCACCAUUGAGGGAUCUUCUGUUAGAGCGUCCAACACAUCUUCUGAACCAUCUUUACCAGCUGCAAUGUGAAGAGGUGUUAAACCUGCUGGACCAGCAGCGUCAGGUCUAAACAAGCUGUGUAUUCUUUGCUGGUUAGGAACGACGUAUCUCAAGAGCAUUUCCACCAUAGGCUUAGAGUUUUUCCUGACGGCUCUGUGAAGAAGGCACAGUUCUGAUAGCGCGGCGGCAUCAGAUGAAGAGUAACCAACAGCUCCUUCAAAGAACAUGUUCAGUAGCUUUCUGAUCACAGCGCACCACUCUCGGUCCAUUGAGAACUCGAUGAGCCACUUGAAACGUGCUAAUGAGAACACACCGAGCUUACUUCUGCGAAGAAGCCAACCGAGUUCAUGAAUGAACUCCAUAGCUAGCUUAGCGGAAUCAGUAUCAGUGAACUCUAAUGUGGUUUCGAGUAUACGGAUCUCAGAACAAACGUCAUCCUCUUCAACCACUAUGAAAGGGAAGAAACUGCUGCUGAGUCCUCCUUGGUCUUCAAUCUGAAAAUAGUCAUCAAGCGAAGCUUGAGUCAAACGAAUAAACAGGUGAUAGAUAGCUCAUUACCAGAAAUACAAAGUUAUCUCACCUCCAUGAAUCCUCGACCGCUUGUAAUAGGCAAAUCACAAGAGAAACUGACACACUCAUUACUCUCCUUGAGAUCAUCAUUCUCCUGAAUCAAGUAUUUUCCUUCUACAGCACAAAGUAACCUGAACAAAGACUGUUAGAUAUCAAAAAGGAAGAAGAAGAAGAAGAUAAGGAAGGGACAUAGAACCUUGUGCCAGGUCGACGGAGAUUGAUGCCUUUUACUGUGAACUGAGCCUUUCCUGUUGCAGCAGCUACAGCGAGCGGUCUAACGCUAAUAAUGUGGCUGUAAUCAUGACUUCUUAGCGGUAAAGAAGUGUCAACAAGAACCUGACCUGUAAGUAACCCACAAAAUUCACAAUUAAAAUUACUUGCAAAUAUUAUAUUCAACUGAUGAAAGUAAUCUCGAAACUAACUAACCGUCGAAUACAAAUGCGUAUUGGUUUUGCAUCCUAACAUAAAUCCAUCCACUUGUCCAUAGAGGAUCAUCUGAGAGAUCUAGAAGCUUGCUCAAGCUAAAGCCCAUGUCAUCAGAAAGCUGCAAAGCAAAAAAAAAACAAAGUUCAUAAGUUUAGAAAUUUUAAUCAAGAUAAAAAGAAGAAAUGUCAAAGUAAGCUUACUUCUUCCCAAGCAGUUUCAGCUUGACGAAGAUAAAUGGUCAAUACGAUGCAACCAGGUCUAAUGUAGCUCUCAAUGUCAGUUGGAGUAUGAGAUAGCCAGUCAAGAAUCUGAAUUAUCAAAGAGAAGAGAAGAUUAAUAUUAACACAUCAGUAUAAAAAACAAAGUUUCAAGUUGAGAAAAUGGUACCUGUCCACGCAAGACAGGAGGAAAGUCAUUUGGCUCUUUCCCAAAUAGUUUGAACACAAUCCUCCCUGUGCGCAUCUGAAGAAGAUGAAGGAGGUUAUUAUCAGCUAUAGAGCAAAUGGAAUGGAUGAGGUAAGAGAUUCAUUCAUAUAUACCUGAGCAUCUUCGCUGGAGCUUGAUGGUGACUGGUCAGAUGCUGAAUCUGAGUUCCUACUAGUCUGAUGUAUCCAGGAAGGAUAAUCAGGAGAGCUUGUUGCUGGAUUCGUAGUAGUGGUAGGAGGAGAAGAUCUUUCGAGAUCUGUGCCGCCAUCAUCAGAGUCUAUGUAGAUGUCAUUCAGAUCAAAAUCAUUUACUUUGGUUUGUAGUUUCUCUGAUCUGUUCCCACUGGCAUACAGUUCCUGCCGAGGAAGCUCAGGAGCUUGCUUCGAAUCCUCUUGAGGAGCUGCAAGCAAACCCGAUCCUCCUUGUAGAAGAAGUUCGACCAAGUUCUUCCCUAGCUGUUCACCAGCAUGGCUGACAAGGCUCUUGAGAAGAUGAGGCAUCAAAUCUUGAUCACCUGAUGAUCCAUUGGCUGCUGCAACAACAGAACACAACACAAAGUUAAAUAACACUAAAUAAAACUAGAAUGUCUGAUGAGAGAGGUUUAAGUAAGUAACAUACAGUGCAUAUUGGAGAGUAUCUUCAAGAGACAAAUCAACAGAUAAUUGCUUGAUUGAUUAUCAUCACUCAGGGGAUUCCCAUUGGCGGCAGGUUCAGGAUUUGUCUUCCUCCUACGUUUGUUAUGCCCAGCCAAACGUCUACGGCAACUUCUCUUUCCUUCAUCAAACUCCUCAAGAACAUGGAACCUGGAACACAGAACAAUCAAAAGUUAAUUCCUUUUUUUUUUUUUUAAUAUUAACUUCAUUCAUCAUCAGGCAUACCUACUACAUUGCUGACAAAACCGCUGCAUGAUUCCACCGACGAGUGCACUAGUAGCCUUAGAAUGCAUCUCACACACCUUAUGGCGUCUAUGAUAGUCCUUAACUUUGCUAAGAUCAGCUUCACAGCUCUCCACCUGACAAACCGAGCGAUGAUUUGUCCCACUUCCUCCUCCGAGUUUCGUCUUCUUCCCUUCUCUUUCACCAUUAAGAUCAUAACCAUUCUCUCCCAGCUUCAAACUAAGCCCACCACCACCACCAUCUUCCCCUGUAGCAGCAGCUCUUCUUCUCUUCUCAACUUCUCUUGUAUUAUCAUUCCCUUCAUCAGAGCAAGAAGAAGAGGUAUUUGACGAGUUCCCUAGUGGGAAAAACUGACGCCCCAUGGUUUGGCUAACACCAGGAUUCAACGGUGUUGCUAUGAAGAGAUCACCAUCCCACUUCCAAUCAUUCAGAUCCCACUCCACGCUCCUUUUGCCAACAUCCAUGGCUCUGUAUCCAUAGAAAUGUUGACCCUCACCUUCAAUUCUAGCUUCCAUCACAAACAACUUCGAUCCCAAAUUGAUCUUUGCAGAUCAGAGGGAAAAGAUAAAAAAAACAGAACUUUAAGGCUUCUUCUUAUCAAUCAAUCAAGAUUCUUCCCAAGAGAUCUACAAAUGAACAGAUCCAUGGUUCCAAUUAGCCCCACACACACUUCUCAAUACACAGAUAAAUCAAAAGACCUUUCAACGUAUAAAACACUUUCAAACAAGACAACAACAAGAAGAGAAAACUGACCUGUCUCAAUACUAAACAAUCAAAGUAACAGCUGGAGAGACCUUCGAGAGGAGCCACUGGUGAUGGAGAGGCGAUGAAGAUGCGUUUGUGGCGUGAUGGAGAGGAGAGUAUGUGUAUGGUAAUGGUUAAUUGGGGGUAGUACAAAAGGUUUGGGGGAGAGAAAGAGUGAGAGAGAGAAAACCAAAAUUAGUACAUAUCAAAAAUAUAUAAUUUUAAUUUUAAUUUUUUUUUAGGCAAAACAAAAUAGUGGUGGACCACUUCUACACUGAUAAUAUUUAUAUUAAAAAUCUAUAUAAGAUAAAAAGACAUAAAAUUAAUUCUUUUGUGACUUUUGUCUACCUUUUUUAUUGUCUUCUCCCAUGUGGAGUAGUGUACUAAUGGAGGUUAAUAAUCGACUGCUUCGCGGAGCAUGGGGCGGUUUCGUGCACUUAGAGGUGCUAUUGUCUGUGGAGCGGUGCACGUUAAUGCGUUUUUUAGACUUUUAGUUAGUUGUGAGUUCGUUGAGAGGUAAAAAAUCGAGUGUUUAGUAGUGAAGAACCGUAGUAAUCGCUGAUCGAUAAAGAAAGUGUCGGUGUGUCUACUAGUAACUGAGUGAACGCGGUUUGACUUUGACUUGAGGAACCCGACUGGGCCAACUUUCUGUCUCGAUGUGGUCAAAGUGGUCUGGGCUUUACUGGCCCACUUACUACUAACCCACCUAAAUUAAAUAUUAUAGAUUUUGUUUUGUUGUUAAUCUCGUUUUGUGUUUUGUUUUCAUUCUUGUGAUACAUCUAAUCAUUUAAUUAAGGUAGAAUAUUGGAAAAAUAAUAAUCGAAUUUUUGUUAGUGAGAGUACAAAAAGAGACCAGUCACAUGAGAAAUAUAAGGGAGAAUCCAAUGCGCUGCGUCGGAUGAUAUAUUCUUCCAUGUUCCUCGUCAUGAUAAGCUUUAGAAUCUCCAAAGGAUCUCAUUCCGUAAUUAUUAUGUAAUUUCAUAGUCCUAAAGUAUGAUGUUCCUCACUUAUUAUAACCUGAUGCUGAUAGUUAUCGAUUGUAUGUGAGAUUCCUUUCUAACUCUAUUCGUUUUCAAAAAUAAAAAGAAGUAAAUUGAGUUAGGAGCCGAAUAAAUGCAUUAUGUUAUGAUUUUAGAAAAGCACUACCAACCGAAGCGGCAAGGUUUCGGCAAAUAAUUCCCCAUAAACCUAAAAAGAAAAGAAAAACUUGAAACGGCUAAUAUGAUCAUUAUAUGGUUAGAGAAGGUGGAAGAUUGAUUAAAUGGUGUUUAAAAUAAUGUAAUGGUCACACCAAAAGAAAACCAUGAUGAUUCAUCUCGAACAUGCCCAUAUUUUGUUCACAUGCAAAGAUAACGACUUCAUCUAGAUACGACCCACAACUCACCAACCCACAUUUAUACAUUUAUUUAUAAAGUUUUGUUGGCUGUUUCUUGUGGAAAGAAACGCAUUAUAAAAAGAUAACGCGGAAACAUGAUACGUAACAUAGGAAAGCUAACUAGUUAAGGCUGUAUAUAUGCAUACGUAGUUUUAUAACUAAAAUGGUCUUAGGAACGAGUAUCUAAAAGAAGGCACUAUAAAGGAAACUAUAUAGAAUUUGCGGUUUUUAAUAAAUAUUGUAUAGUUGCAAUGAAGAUAAGCGACUCAUCUCUAUCAAUAUCAAUGCAUUUUGUUAACGUUAAAGAAAAUAAUAAAAUAUCUUAAGAAUACAACAUGAUUUAGAGGAAACCAGUAGAUUUGGUCGGAAAACAUAAAUAUUAUUGUAAUGAAAUCAAAAUUGGCAUUUAUAUUGAAUAAUUCUACAUAAUACAGAAAACAAAAGGAAAAUAAUCCCAACAUACCAACGGCCACACAAAAAAAAACAUGGUCGUUGAAUGACGGCCGGCGGCGGAAGUCACGCCGUUGAUAUGUAACGAUAAUUCCGGUCAUUUUUCAAUUUAAUUCGAUAAAUAAAUAAUCCAAAUUAAAAAUGAGGUGGCAAUCUGGUCCGUUGGCUCUUGAGUUUCGUCAAACUAAUCCAACGGCGACACCGCUGUCAAGUGACAGCGUUGAAAUCCAGUCAAAGUAAUUAAAUUAAUACACUAGUUGAAAAAACUAUUAUUUAAAAUACAAAAAUACAAAAAAAAAAGGUUUGCGCGUUAUGUAAUUUAAUCUUUCAGUCCUAUAAUUUUCAAAAGAUCGCCACUGUUAUCGAAAACUCAGAUCUCCAAAAGAAGAAACUCGCUCUCACUUACCUACUACGCAUCCUCUCGAGGUACAAAGUUCAUCUAGAUUUCGCUCUUUGUUGCUCUGAUCCUCGAUUCGAACCUGUAAUAGAAUAUUUCUCGCUAUUUAUAGUAACGUUUCGAGUUCAUUUGGUUCCGUUACGCUUCCUAGAUAGUUGAAUUUCAUUAUCAGAUUCAGAUCUCUCGUUUGAUCUGGCUAAUGUAGAUUAUAUUAUCUAUUUGCAGAUAGAAUAAAAUAAAAAUGAGCUGCUUCGGGUGUUGCGAGGAAGAUGAUAUGCACAAAGGUGCUGCUGAUCACGGUGGCCACAAUACAGCUAAACACUUUGGAGGUAAUUUUUUUUUUUUUUUUGAAUAAAGCAAGUUUUUGUUUUACUUAUUGUUUUUUUUUUUAGGGAAUGAUGGGAGGCACAAUGCCUCUGAAGCUGCACAAAAGGGCGGCGCACCAGCUGUGAAGGUGCAGCCUAUUGAAGUACCUACCAUCCCUGUUAACGAACUCAAGGAAGCUACCGAGGAUUUUGGAUCGAGUUCUCUCAUCGGUGAAGGCUCCUACGGAAGAGUUUAUUACGGGAUGCUAACUAACCAGCAGCCUGCAGCUAUUAAAAAGCUUGAUUCUAACAAACAGCCUGACAAUGAGUUCCUUGCCCAGGUUUGCUUCCUUUCUAUAAAUAGAGUUACUAGUAUUAAUGUUUCCUAUAUUAGCUAAACUUGGGAACUGUCGCUGCUUGCUCAGGUUUCCAUGGUGUCGAGGCUGAAGCAUGACAACUUUGUUCAACUGCUUGGCUACUGUGUUGACGGGAACUCGAGGAUACUUGCCUAUGAGUUUGCCAAGAAUGGAUCUCUUCAUGACAUUCUUCAUGGUACAGUCUUAAAUAGAUUUAUUUUUGUGGGCAUUACUUUGGUUUUAACAUCUGUCUUUAUUAUUCCACAGGGAGAAAAGGAGUGAAAGGAGCUCAGCCAGGACCUGUCUUGUCGUGGUACCAACGGGUGAAAAUUGCGGUUGGAGCUGCGAGAGGGCUAGAGUAUUUGCAUGAGAAGGCAAACCCUCACAUCAUUCACCGUGACAUUAAGUCAAGCAAUGUCCUACUCUUUGAAGAUGAUGUUGCCAAGAUUGCUGACUUUGAUCUCUCUAAUCAAGCUCCUGAUAUGGCUGCUCGCCUUCAUUCGACACGUGUCCUUGGAACUUUCGGUUACCAUGCCCCUGAGUAAGUUGACACAUAGCUUCUUCUUGUGAAUAAAAAACGUAAUAGUGUGAGCUCCUCUCAAGUCUCAAAUGCUCUUGUUAUUUUUUUUAUCUUGACAGAUAUGCGAUGACCGGUCAGUUAAAUGCCAAGAGUGAUGUGUACAGCUUCGGGGUUGUCUUACUGGAGCUCCUUACAGGUCGAAAACCUGUUGAUCAUAGAUUACCCAGAGGCCAGCAAAGUCUAGUCACAUGGGUACUGAUUCCUCUCAGUCUUACACAUCUUUUGUUUCUAUUAUUGAAUCCAUAUAAACUGUUACUUAUGCUUCAGGCAACACCUAAACUGAGUGAAGACAAGGUCAAACAGUGCGUUGAUGCAAGACUUGGUGGCGAUUACCCUCCAAAAGCUGUUGCCAAGGUAUUUAAAACAUUAUAUGUCUUUGGACUUUUGAAAACGUAAACGCUCAAGUGAUUCUCUCUGCUUAUCUCAUAUGUGAUGUUGGUUGAUGAAACGCAGUUAGCGGCGGUAGCAGCGUUGUGUGUGCAGUAUGAAGCAGAUUUUAGGCCGAAUAUGAGUAUUGUUGUGAAAGCUCUACAACCUUUGUUGAACGCUCGAGCCGCUGCUCCAGGGGAUGGAUUACAUUAGCCAACACCGGAAUAUUUGAUAUCUCCGCCGUCUUCCUGAAUAUUUGAUUUCCACAUAUACAGUAAUCAAAACUUAUAGUGUGCAUAGAAAAUCUAUUUUUUUUUUGUUACAAAAUUAAAUCCGUCACCGUUAUUUGGAUUCUUGCUUUUCUACUAAACUGCUAUCUCUCCCAUACAAUUUCUGACCGCCUAAUAUUAUUAUUUUCAUUGAAGUUGUGGUAAAAAAAAAACAGAAUCAUAGCGAUACUUCUGGUUAAUUUUUCUGUUAUCAACUUAUCAAAUUUGUGUGUAUAUAGUACUUAUAGUAUACAGCUUCUCUGUUACUAGCUAAUUAGCUAUAUGUAUAUUUCUUAAAUAUGUUUAUAAGACAAAUUUUAUAACUGACUCAUAAAAUAAGGAGGAGGCUUCUGUUUGAGGACAAGAUCAUGGCAUGUCCGAUUAAAAAAGCCACAAUUCACGCAUUACCAUCAGUUUAUCUUUGAAGAAAUAGUAAAAAAAAAUCUAAAUAUAGCAAAACCAUAUAAACAUCUAUAUAUACACGUAACCUUCCUUUUUCCUUACUCUAAUCCUUUCCAAUCCACGUUGAAGUUAACAAAAAAAAAAACAAAAAAAAUGAACACUCCUAUAAAACUCGCCUUUCUCAUUCUAUGCAUCGCCCUAACCGCAACCGCAAUCAUAGUCCCAGCCAAACGUGACGCCGUUACACCCGAACACGAGAAAGCCGUCGCAGGAAUAUGCAGCGUUGUCCAAGACAAACGUCUCUGUAGCAUAACCUUGAAAACCGUCCCAAGCAAUGAUCCAGCCGUUCUGGUCCGUCACUUAGCCACUGGUGCAGAAACCUCAGUUAAAAAGGGAUUGAAGUUCCUCUCCGGAAUCAAACCCAAGUACAAAGGAGACAAAUUCGCCACAGCUUGCAUCACCAGCUGCGAGAAACAGCUAAACAGCGCUUUGGAAGACUUUUCAGAUUUCUGGAAAGCCGCGGGAAAAGACAUAAAGAGCAUGGCUAAUAACUACUUCACGUGUAAGAAGAAGAUGACCUCGAUCUUUAACUACCAGUCGAGUUGUCUCGAUGACAUUUACGACAAACCGUUGUUGAAAGAGGUUCAAGGAGGGAUAGGGCUUGGGAAAAGAAUGAGUGGCGAGUCAGUGGAUGUGUUCGCUGGAAUGGGCAAAGUCUUUAACACUCUCAACAUUAAGACCAAACUUAACCA